CUUUGAUACUGAAAUCCUGCUGGAAAAGCCCUUGGAGCAAGAAAGGUGACAGGAGACCAGAGAAGAGCAAUACCUGUACCUGACAUUCUCAUAAGCAAGGCUAGACAAGUAAGGACUGUUCUUCAGCAUUGUCUGCAGGGUAUAAAACCUUGCAGGUUCAACACAGGACAACAGACAAGCAGCAGAGUGCAGAAGGGACAGGCUGCACAGUGAAAUCACCUUUCUCUUCCAUUUACUACUUGCAAAGCCACAGGUAUACUGUGACAGACUUCUGCUGUCCUGCUGCCAGGAAAAUAUGAAUAUUUGGGAAACAACAAGAGCAAUCAGAAGUCUGUAAAACACAUCCUCCUUUUCCUGAAGAAAAGAUGGCUGAUGGAACAUGGCAACAGUCCUCAAGCCCAUCAAAACCUGACAAAACAGAAGAAAAUUGUCUGUUCUCCACCAUUACUAUAGAUAGUAGUAGGAGUAGAAAGUUUUGAUUGCAGCAACCAGAUUUGGGUGAGAUACUACAAGAAUUUUUAACACUAAGGAAACUCUGCAACAGCAUGCAAGGAACCAGAAAGGAAACUUUAUAACUCUCCUUUGUAAAACAUUUAUUAGGAUCCACUUGGUCAUUCUUACAUCCCUGCUGCUUGUGACCAUCCUGUGAGCACUGUACCAAGAGCUAUCCCAGCUUCCAAAAGUCUGUUCUUAAUUCAGCCUUACUGGGACACAACAAAACUAUUCUAUUGAUUUCAGUGUUGUACACUUCAGUAAGGUUGACAGUAAGAAAUAUAUUUUCUUAAUGUAAAAAUCUAUGACCAUUAGCUGCUUCACAUUAUCAGAAGCAGAGCUCCAAAUGAAGAUCCAAAUCAAAAGACAACAGUGAUGUGUU